UUCCUACGGGAGGCAGCAGUCGGGAAUAUUGCGCAAUGGAGGAAACUCUGACGCAGUGACGCCGCGUGCAGGAAGAAGGUUUUCGGAUUGUAAACUGCUUUAGACAGGGAAGAAACAAGACAGUACCUGUAGAAUAAGCUCCGGCUAACUACGUGCCAGCAGCCGCGGUAAUACGUAGGGAGCAAGCGUUAUCCGGAUUUACUGGGUGUAAAGGGAGCGUAGACGGCGAGGCAAGUCUGGAGUGAAAGCCCGGGGCUCAACCCCGGGACUGCUUUGGAAACUGCCUGGCUGGAGUGCUGGAGAGG
rnacentral:rRNA from 1 species